rnacentral:rRNA from 1 species
UUAAGCGACUAAGCGUACACGGUGGAUGCCCUGGCAGUCAGAGGCGAUGAAGGACGUGCUAAUCUGCGAAAAGCGUCGGUAAGGUGAUAUGAACCGUUAUAACCGGCGAUGUCCGAAUGGGGAAACCCAGUGNNNNNNNNNNNNNNNNNNNNNNNNNNNNNNNNNNNNNNNNNNNNNNNNNNNNNNNNNNNNNNNNNNNNNNNNNNNNNNNNNNNNNNNNNNNNNNNUGUGAACUCGAAGAGUAGGGCGGGACACGUGGUAUCCUGUCUGAAUAUGGGGGGACCAUCCUCCAAGGCUAAAUACUCCUGACUGACCGAUAGUGAACCAGUACCGUGAGGGAAAGGCGAAAAGAACCCCGGCGAGGGGAGUGAAAAAGAACCUGAAACCGUGUACGUACAAGCAGUGGGAGCACCUUCGGGUGUGACUGCGUACCUUUUGUAUAAUGGGUCAGCGACUUAUAUUCUGUAGCAAGGUUAACCGUAUAGGGGAGCCGCAGGGAAACCGAGUCUUAACUGGGCGUUAAGUUGCAGGGUAUAGACCCGAAACCCGGUGAUCUAGCCAUGGGCAGGUUGAAGGUUGGGUAACACUAACUGGAGGACCGAACCGACUAAUGUUGAAAAAUUAGCGGAUGACUUGUGGCUGGGGGUGAAAGGCCAAUCAAACCGGGAGAUAGCUGGUUCUCCCCGAAAGCUAUUUAGGUAGCGCCUCGUGAACUCAUCUUCGGGGGUAGAGCACUGUUUCGGCUAGGGGGUCAUCCCGACUUACCAACCCGAUGCAAACUACGAAUACCGAAGAAUGUUAUCACGGGAGACACACGGCGGGUGCUAACGUCCGUCGUGAAGAGGGAAACAACCCAGACCGCCAGCUAAGGUCCCAAAGUCAUGGUUAAGUGGGAAACGAUGUGGGAAGGCACAGACAGCCAGGAUGUUGGCUUAGAAGCAGCCAUCAUUUAAAGAAAGCGUAAUAGCUCACUGGUCGAGUCGGCCUGCGCGGAAGAUGUAACGGGGCUAAACCAUGCACCGAAGCUGCGGCAGCGACACUAUGUGUUGUUGGGUAGGGGAGCGUUCUGUAAGCCUGCGAAGGUGUGCUGUGAGGCAUGCUGGAGGUAUCAGAAGUGCGAAUGCUGACAUAAGUAACGAUAAAGCGGGUGAAAAGCCCGCUCGCCGGAAGACCAAGGGUUCCUGUCCAACGUUAAUCGGGGCAGGGUGAGUCGACCCCUAAGGCGAGGCCGAAAGGCGUAGUCGAUGGGAAACAGGUUAAUAUUCCUGUACUUGGUGUUACUGCGAAGGGGGGACGGAGAAGGCUAUGUUAGCCGGGCGACGGUUGUCCCGGUUUAAGCAUGUAGGCUGGUUAUCCAGGCAAAUCCGGAUAAUCAAGGCUGAGGUGUGAUGACGAGGCACUACGGUGCUGAAGUAACAAAUGCCCUGCUUCCAGGAAAAGCCUCUAAGCAUCAGGUAACAUCAAAUCGUACCCCAAACCGACACAGGUGGUCAGGUAGAGAAUACCAAGGCGCUUGAGAGAACUCGGGUGAAGGAACUAGGCAAAAUGGUGCCGUAACUUCGGGAGAAGGCACGCUGGUGUGUAGGUGAAGUCCCUGCGGAUGGAGCUGAGACCAGUCGAAGAUACCAGCUGGCUGCAACUGUUUAUUAAAAACACAGCACUGUGCAAACACGAAAGUGGACGUAUACGGUGUGACGCCUGCCCGGUGCCGGAAGGUUAAUUGAUGGGGUUAUCCGUAAGGAGAAGCUCUUGAUCGAAGCCCCGGUAAACGGCGGCCGUAACUAUAACGGUCCUAAGGUAGCGAAAUUCCUUGUCGGGUAAGUUCCGACCUGCACGAAUGGCGUAAUGAUGGCCAGGCUGUCUCCACCCGAGACUCAGUGAAAUUGAACUCGCUGUGAAGAUGCAGUGUACCCGCGGCAAGACGGAAAGACCCCGUGAACCUUUACUAUAGCUUGACACUGAACAUUGAGCCUUGAUGUGUAGGAUAGGUGGGAGGCUUUGAAGCGUGGACGCCAGUCUGCGUGGAGCCAACCUUGAAAUACCACCCUUUAAUGUUUGAUGUUCUAACGUUGGCCCCUGACCGGGGUUGCGGACAGUGUCUGGUGGGUAGUUUGACUGGGGCGGUCUCCUCCCAAAGCGUAACGGAGGAGCACGAAGGUUAGCUAAUCCUGGUCGGACAUCAGGAGGUUAGUGCAAUGGCAUAAGCUAGCUUGACUGCGAGCGUGACGGCGCGAGCAGGUGCGAAAGCAGGUCAUAGUGAUCCGGUGGUUCUGAAUGGAAGGGCCAUCGCUCAACGGAUAAAAGGUACUCCGGGGAUAACAGGCUGAUACCGCCCAAGAGUUCAUAUCGACGGCGGUGUUUGGCACCUCGAUGUCGGCUCAUCACAUCCUGGGGCUGAAGUAGGUCCCAAGGGUAUGGCUGUUCGCCAUUUAAAGUGGUACGCGAGCUGGGUUUAGAACGUCGUGAGACAGUUCGGUCCCUAUCUGCCGUGGGCGCUGGAGAAUUGAGGGGGGCUGCUCCUAGUACGAGAGGACCGGAGUGGACGCAUCACUGGUGUUCGGGUUGUCAUGCCAAUGGCACUGCCCGGUAGCUAAAUGCGGAAGAGAUAAGUGCUGAAAGCAUCUAAGCACGAAACNUGUGACGCCUGCCCGGUGCCGGAAGGUUAAUUGAUGGGGUUAUCCGUAAGGAGAAGCUCUUGAUCGAAGCCCCGGUAAACGGCGGCCGUAACUAUAACGGUCCUAAGGUAGCGAAAUUCCUUGUCGGGUAAGUUCCGACCUGCACGAAUGGCGUAAUGAU